rnacentral:rRNA from 1 species
GAUGAACGCUGGCGGCGUGCCUAAUACAUGCAAGUCGAGCGAACAGACGAGGAGCUUGCUCCUCUGACGUUAGCGGCGGACGGGUGAGUAACACGUGGAUAACCUACCUAUAAGACUGGGAUAACUUCGGGAAACCGGAGCUAAUACCGGAUAAUAUAUUGAACCGCAUGGUUCAAUAGUGAAAGACGGUUUUGCUGUCACUUAUAGAUGGAUCCGCGCCGCAUUAGCUAGUUGGUAAGGUAACGGCUUACCAAGGCAACGAUGCGUAGCCGACCUGAGAGGGUGAUCGGCCACACUGGAACUGAGACACGGUCCAGACUCCUACGGGAGGCAGCAGUAGGGAAUCUUCCGCAAUGGGCGAAAGCCUGACGGAGCAACGCCGCGUGAGUGAUGAAGGUCUUCGGAUCGUAAAACUCUGUUAUUAGGGAAGAACAAAUGUGUAAGUAACUAUGCACGUCUUGACGGUGCCUAAUCAGAAAGCCACGGCUAACUACGUG